UUACAGACAUCAUGUCGUCGAAUGUUCAAAAAAAAUAUUUUCUUGUAAUUACUAUUUUAUUCAUUAAUAUUUUUAGAAAAGCCGCAGCGGCAGAGUGUUCGUACGGAGAUGUGGUUUUUUGCGGAAGUGACGGAUUCACUUAUAAUAAUCUUUGUGAUUUUCAAACGGUCCAAUCUGUCCGACCAAACCUAGAAUUGGAAUAUUUUGGUGCUUGCCAAAUAGAAGGUUGCCCAUUGAAAUCUUUAAUAAAACGUUUAGAUAAAAGUUACUUAAGGAACAGUAAACAACACGUCGGUAAAGCAGAGAAGAAAUCUAAAUUACUAUUAGAAUUUUUAGCACAUAUCAUAAAUGCACGAACUAAAUUGAGUAGCUUCCGCAUUCGUGUUAUUGGUAAGCAUAAAACAUGAUAUGUACUGAACAAGCCAGGCUCACCAAAACUGACGUAUAUCAAUUCCUAAAAAAAAAUUAUUAAAUAAAUUAUAAAGAUAUUUUAUUUUUAAAUAAUUU